rnacentral:lncRNA from 1 species
AAGUUAAAGUUUAUUUGUAUUCUUUGUAGUAAUAUCAAUAAAAGACCUCAAACGUAUCUAUAUCUGUACAUGUACAAGAACCAUCAAAAAUUAUUCACAGAACAAAAAUAAAUCUUCUUUAGAACAAACCCAGGUAAUGAAAUGCAGAUAUGGAUCUCACAUACGGAACAAUCUAAGUGCUACCAGCACAAAAAUAUGGCUUUAAAAAUAAAAUAAAAUCUUGGGUUUUGUUUUUCUAAGGUGUAUUUCUCUUUCUUGAAAUAAAAAAUAAAUUAUUUAGAGCUAUUAUUGUAAAAUAGUCAUGUGUGUUAACACAUUCUUAUUAAGGCCCUGGAGAUGAAAAACAAAAUCAAAUUUAGCAGGUAAAUUCCUCACAGGUGUGAUUUAGGUUAGUGUGCUGCUGUCCGCCUGGGUUAAUUUUAAUGUAACUAAGAAAUAUCUAAGCACCAGUCAAAAUGUAACCUUUACUAAUUAUUUCCACUUUUCUGCAGGAUAGUGGUUAUUGAGUCAAUUAGUAUUUAACCUUUUGGUGAACUGGGAACUGAAAUUUCUCCCUUGGGAGUUUAAAAAUGACAAAAAUACAGUAUUUAUACAUGAACAUUUGAACCCCCUCCCACAGAGGAUGGAGGCCCCUAAACCACAGCUUCCUUGGAAAUCUUUUACAACAACAGAUAAAUCUGGUUUUAGGUCCCAAACUAAAACAUUUCCUAGUGAAAAAGGAGGGCAUUUGAAGGAAAAAUGAGACAGGAGUAGGAAAUGAAAAAUGCAGGCUGAGACACAGGCAAAACGGCCACUUUGCUUUCCUGGGGUGGCUUGCUGUGUUUGCCAAGUCUUGCCAGCUUGCUUACUCAAACACCUGAGGAUUAACUGCCCAGGAACCAAAGCUCCUUCUUUCUGGAUCCUACUCUCAGAUCAGUGACAUUCAGCUUUCUUUCUAUGACCCGCAUGGCAUCAGUGAUCCUAUCUAGGAUUCUUGAGACAAUGUCAGACCAAAUCAAUUUCAAGUCACUUUAACUUAUAUAUACAUAUAACAUAUAACACAUAUGGUACAUUUUAAAGAGGAACAGACCAUGGUCAUAACAUCUAACAAGUAAGAGCAUAAAAUCUAAAAAGCUCAAGAAAGUCUGGAAAUCACUGUUCUGCAAGAUGGAUUAGCAUUCAGAAAAAGGAGGCCCUAGGAAUUGUGUUUUAUGUGGGUGCACAUGUGUUGUCUACAGAGACUACCUUUCCACUAAUCUAUGUAUUUUAAGAUCUGACAAACGAUAUAAAUCCCAUUUCCUUGAACCUUUGGGCUAUUGAGAAGGCUGCUGUGCAUUAGUCCCUGUUUGGAUCAUGUAUCUUCCUCACGUUCUUUCAAUCUUCAUAAGGUAUUCUGUCUCAUGCAAAUUUCAUCACUUUUGUCCUUCCUAACCUCAAGGGAAUUCAUAACUGGGUCACGACAAUAAGAUAAUGCUUCUAGAACUAAUAACAAUCACUGGAACAUGGAAAGGGGUUCUAAUUAAAAAUUCGACACACCAACACAUCUCGCUUUUGUAAGACUAGUAAAAUAGGUUCUUCCAAUUGACACAUUGAUAGAAACAAAGUAUCCCAAAUUCUUGGCCCUCAGGUAGAGGGUGGGAAGGCAACUAUUUACUGUUGGGGCAAGCAGCAGAUUUCACACAUGACUUGAGAAGGGGAGGGGGAAUGGAGAAGACCCUUUUAAAGGUUUCCACAAUCUGCAGGAGAAGGUGGCCCCCAUGGGGGUCAUUGACAAUACACUGAAGCAGUGGCACGGACUCAGGAGCUGCUGGGCCAGGCUCAGCAAUAAGUCUAGUCUGGUGUCCAGACUCAGCUCAAGGUCACAUGCGACUAAAGGUAUCCCAAAGAGGAUUCCUUCCUCAAGUUGUCCCACAACCAGCCUUCUCAGGAACUCCGAACUGGAGAUAACUAGAAUUUAAUCAAGGUAGAAGUCAAAGCAAAUACUAAUGCAAACUCACUUGAUGGCUACUGUCUUGCUCUGUGGUUUCUGAAAAAGAACUGCUUCCUACCUCUGAGGACAUAGUCAGAGCUUGGAGCCAGAAGAACCACAGAUCCAUAAACGAAGGCUGAGGUCGAAUAAGAUCUGGAAAGCUUUAAAGUCCAGCUAAUUCUCAAGGUCAUACAGCAGUCAGAGACAGACACUCCUGCUUUUUCUUUCACUGUCCAACACCAUCAUAGGGAAAGGUGGCAGCAGACCAGAGAAAGCGACCUGUGACCAACUUGAUACUGAGUGAACACAAGAAGUUCUAAGAGCACAAUGAGCCCAGUCUAUCACAUUCUCCUUAUGGACAGGCCACCCUGGACUCCGAUGGCACCUUGGUGAGAGCACCUGGAACAUGGGAGAUGCUCAAGGGCUUGUUUUAGUUACUAUGUGUCAUCUCCUACACUGUAUAUACUAUAGAGACUCUGGGAACAUGAGGACCUGAUGGAAAUGUCACUCUUUCUGCUGCUUUGGCCCAGAAAGCCUGUUGCUCAGUGAUACAAAAAGCGAGAAUGAAAGCUCUUUCCUUAAUUCCUAGAUCCCAUCCACAUUGUCUUUGUUAACAGCUAAGUCUGGCCAUCAGCUUAGACAAGCACUUGACAAGCACUACCCCUGAACCCCAAAUUCUGUUUGAUUGCGGUCCAGGCUGCAGCCUGCAGUAUGGUGAUAUGUGGGUGGAAGGGAGAGUCCAAGCCAUGGCUAUCUUAAUCCACCUGCCUUUCUUCCAUUAUGCCCUCUGCUCCACAGAACAUACCCUAUGUAGUUAUUUGGGCUGAAGAGAAGCCAAAUUAAGCAAUACCUCCAUAAAAAUGAUCAGCUGUUUGCUGCAGUCUUCCACACUUAAAAAAAUCUUUCAGAAUAAGUUGUAUAGAUUGCAGCUUCUCUAAAGAAAUACUCAGAAAAAUAUUUGGAUAGGAACAAGGCUCAAAGGAUAAUCUAAUAUAUGUCAACAAAUCUGAACUUCUAGCUUACUUCUAACUUGAUUUUCUUACUCUUUUCUCUGCAUUCAAGAUUAACAUAAUGUUUCCAAACAUUUUGGGCAUUCAGUCUUCCAAAGAAGGCAGCCCUCUAAAGAGCUCCCACAAUGUCAACAAGAUCUAUGCAGCCAUCAAAAGCACAUUUGAUAUUUUUGUGUCUCCCCCAACCUCCCAGUAUAGGUAAGCUUAUCAGGCCUCUGUAACCCAUAACCAUAACUUCAGAGCUUCCAAACCUGAAUGGAGGACAUCAGCCAAGUUACAUACUUUUAAGGCCGCCGAAACCAACUGUUUUACCAGGCUUCUACUGCACAAUGGAAGGCUUUUGCAGAGAAUGGAUUAAAGGUGGCUGGAGCUGGGAAUCGCUCUAAAGGAGGCCAUCUAUGUUUAUACUCCCAGGCCAACAAAGGACGCAACUUUAGCAUUUGUAGGGUGGUUUUCCUAUUAAAGUAAGUGAUCUUGACCAUGAUGUGCCCUAAGCUUAGAGGGAAGAGGUAAGAAUUUGUAAAACCACCACAAAGGGCCAAGAAAAUAACCAAGUGCCAAAAUAGGAGGGCACAAAAACCAGGUAAGCACGAUGAGCAGCCUGUUUCACAUCUCUGACUGGCAGAACGAGAAGAUUAUGUAGGAAGUGUUUCAAAAGGUUGUGGGUUGGGGGCCGUUGGGAGCUUGUAUGAUGCAGAGUCCAAUACAGAGAUCCACCCGAGAGGGGGCAGCACUCAAGAGGUCCAGGCGCCAUGAAAGAGAGGCUGUUCACACAGAUGCCAAGUCUGGGCUUCACCCAAGGAGGACAGGAUCAAUGUUCUCGUUUCCUUACAAUAUUCUAUUAUGUAGAAACACUCACUCUAUGUUUAGGGCUCCCUCAGGUCUUUUUCUUUUUCCUCCUCUCCCUUUUUCCUUUCCUUUCCUUUUUUUUUUUUUUUUUUUCUGAAUUUCCUUAAAGUUUAUAAUUUAAAAUAAACACCAUUAACUCAUUUGAGAAAUGUUGCUUUCUCAGGACAAAGAACUGCUUAGAUCUUGCUUAAAGAGAUUCAAAACCCUUUUAACAUUAUAUCUGACAGCAGAGAAGGCAUGAACUUUUCCUAUUUGUGCAGUUGUAUGUACAUAUGUGUGAGUAUAUAUGUAUAUAUAUUUGUAUAUAUAAUGUCUGUUUUAACACGUAACAUUCUAUAUUUCUGAUAAUCAAGUUUGCUUUCAAGAUGACAUUUCACACCUCUGGAAUAAAGGAAGUAAAUUAGCUUCCACAACUGUUUCUGUCCUACAAUAAAGCCAAAGAUGACAGUUGGUGAAACUGAGUCAUUAUUGCCAAAUCUACGAAGAGCAUGGGAGUAACAACUGGAAUGCAUGGCCCCUGCACUUUCAGUUUUCUUUUUUUGGAAGAGUAAUCAUGACUUUUGAGAGAGCCAUGCUUCUUCAGAUCUGGAUUUCCUUUCCAAAUUUUUGUGAGGGAAUUAGGAGAAGAAGCCAUUUAAAAGCUAAAGACUGAGAUAAAAGUAC